UACGAAGGGGGCUAGCGUUGUUCGGAAUUACUGGGCGUAAAGCGCACGUAGGCGGAUAUUUAAGUCAGGGUGAAAUCCCAGAGCUCAACUCUGGAACUGCCUUUGAUACUGGGUAUCUUGAGUAUGGAAGAGGUAAGUGGAAUUGCGAGUGUAGAGGUGAAAUUCGUAGAUAUUCGCAGGAACACCAGUGGCGAAGGCGGCUCACUGGCCCGAUACUGACGCUGAGGUGCGAAAGCGUGGGUAGCAAACGGGAUUAAGAUAACCCG
rnacentral:rRNA from 1 species